UACAGAGGUCCCAAGCGUUGUUCGGAUUCACUGGGCGUAAAGGGUGCGUAGGUGGUCGGAUAAGUUUGAUGUGAAAUCUCCGGGCUUAACCCGGAAACUGCAUUGAAUACUAUCUGGCUGGAGGGUUGGAGGGGGGACUGGAAUUCUCGGUGUAGCAGUGAAAUGCGUAGAUAUCGAGAGGAACACCAGUGGCGAAGGCGAGUCCCUGGACAACUCCUGACACUGAGGCACGAAAGCUAGGGGAGCAAACAGG
rnacentral:rRNA from 1 species